CCUACGGGAGGCAGCAGUGAGGAAUAUUGGUCAAUGGGCGGGAGCCUGCACCAGCCAAGUCGCGUGAGGGAAGACGGUCCUAUGGAUUGUAAACCUCUUUAGGCGGGGAGCAAUGCCGGGCACGCGUGCCCGGAGGGAGAGUACCCGCAGAAUAAGCAUCGGCCAACUCCGUGCCAGCAGACGCGGUAAUAGGUAGGAUGCGAGCGUUAUCCGGAGUUAUUGGGGUUAAGGGGUGCGUAGGCGGAGUGUUAAGUCAUCGGUAACAUGUCCGGGUUCAACCCGCGUCGGCCGUUGAAACUGGGGGUCUUGAGUGGGGUAGAGGUAUGCGGAAUGCGAGGUGUAGCGGUGAAAUGCAUAGAUAUCACGAAGAAUUCCGGUUGCGAAGGCAGCCUCCCGGCGACCGACUGACGCUGAGGCACGAAAGCGUGGGGAUCGAACAGGAUUAGAUACCCGGGUAGUC
rnacentral:rRNA from 1 species